rnacentral:lncRNA from 1 species
UGCUCUACAGAAAAAAGUUAGUUUGCUCAAGCGCUUAAUCAUCUCGAUCAUGUAUAGUACAUGAUCAAUGAUUGAUACUCCUUCCCUCAUUUGAGCAUUGAAGAUGGUACAAUUUGUCUUGUGCCUCUCAACAUCGUCAGGCAUGCCAAAGGACUCGUUCAAUAUUUAUAAUAUGUCCUGAGUGAAAGAAUAAUAUCCAAUAAGCCAAUCGCAUAUGGGAUGCGAUCAGGUAUUUUCUGUAAUUUAUCUUUUAAACUCAUGUAAUUGAUAUUGCUAUUUAAUAAAAUAAGCUUUUUGAUUCAUUAUAUGUUGCAUC